rnacentral:rRNA from 1 species
UACGUAGGUGGCGAGCGUUGUCCGGAUUUACUGGGCGUAAAGGGAGCGUAGGCGGACUUUUAAGUGAGAUGUGAAAUACCCAGGCUUAACUUGGGUGCUGCAUUUCAAACUGGAAGUCUAGAGUGCAGGAGAGGAGAAUGUAAUUCCUAGUGUAGCGGUGAAAUGCGUAGAGAUUAGGAAGAACACCAGUGGCGAAGGCGAUUCUCUGGACUGUAACUGACGCUGAGGCUCGAAAGCGUGGGGAGCAAACAGGAUUAGAUACCCU